rnacentral:rRNA from 1 species
GAAUAUUGGACAAUGGGGGGAACCCUGAUCCAGCCAUGCCGCGUGUGUGAAGAAGGCCUUUUGGUUGUAACGCACUUUAAGCGAGGAGGAGGCUACUCUAGUUAAUACCUAGAGAUCGUGGACGGUACUCCCAGACUAAGCCCCGGCUAACUCCGUGCCAGCAGCCGCGGUAACACAGAGGGUGCAAGCGGUAAUCGGAUUUACUUGGCGUAAAGCGCGCGUAGGUGGCCAAUUAAGUCAAAUGUGAAAUCCCCGAGCUUAACUUGGGAAUUGCAUUCGAUACUGGUUGGCUAGAGUAUGGGAGAGGAUGGUAGAAUUCCAGGUGUAGCGGUGAAAUGCGUAGAGAUCUGGAGGAAUACCGAUGGCGAAGGCAGCCAUCUGGCCUAAUACUGACACUGAGGUGCGAAAGCAUGGGGAGCAAACA